rnacentral:rRNA from 1 species
GACAGAGGGUGCAAACGUUGUUCGGAAUUACUGGGCGUAAAGCGUGUGUAGGCGGCGCGGUAAGUCAGGGGUGAAAUCCCGGAGCUCAACUCCGGAACUGCCCUUGAAACUGCAGUGCUAGAAUCCUGGAGAGGCGAGUGGAAUUCCGAGUGUAGAGGUGAAAUUCGUAGAUAUUCGGAAGAACACCAGUGGCGAAGGCGACUCGCUGGACAGGUAUUGACGCUGAGGUGCGAAAGCGUGGGGAGCAAACAGG